GAUGAAGAACGCAGCGAAAUGCGAUAAGUAAUGUGAAUUGCAGAAUUCAGUGAAUCAUCGAAUCUUUGAACGCACAUUGCGCCCCCUGGUAUUCCGGGGGGCAUGCCUGUCCGAGCGUCAUUACAACCCUCAAGCUCAGCUUGGUGUUGGGCCCCGCCGCCCCGGCGGGCCCUAAAGUCAGUGGCGGUGCCGUCCGGCUCCGAGCGUAGUAAUUCUUCUCGCUCUGGAGGUCCGGUCGUGUGCUCGCCAGCAACCCCCAAUUUUUUUCAGGUUGACCUCGGAUCAGGUAGGGAUACCCGCUGAACUUAAGCAUAUCAAUACGCGGAGGA
rnacentral:misc_RNA from 1 species